UAUUAAACCCAAAUUAAAAUCUAAUAUGAUCUAAUCAUGUUUGUAUUAUUUUCUAAAGAACUUAAAUGUACAUUAGAUGUAUUUUUCAUGUAUAAAAAACUAAAAUAUGUAAAAGAAAUAUUUUUAUGUAUUUAUGAAUUAAAAUGUGUAAAAAAAGAUUAAAAUGUGAAUUAAAGAAAAUAUAUUAAAAAUGUAAAAUAAAAAUGACAAAACGAAAUUAACAAAAAAACUAAAUCAGGGGGUGUAUGGGCCUAGGGGCGUGUAUGGAGGAAAUAGGGCAUUGGGCCUGGUCAGAAGGGGCCCAAAGUUGGUUUGUCUGUUGCAUCAGAACAAAGGAGGUAUGUGUCGAAUUAUGGGGUGUCGUCAGUAAAAAUCCAUGGGCCUAAUGGGAAAUCCCACAUGGAUUGGCCAUGCUAAUGGAAGGGGUAGAGCAUCAUAAACCUCAUUUCCAAUUUCACUUGUUUCUAUCUCGUCCUCGCUUGUCUCAGACGCACCUCGUCGGAGUUGGUUGCUUCGCCGCGCCGGAGGCGGCGGAGUGGUCCAAAACAACCACCACCACCACCAUUUUGUUCAUCUCCUUCCACUAUAUCCUAAUCUAACCUCCAUUCACUCCUAAAUUCAACCAAAUUUGAAAAUCGAACUGAAACCUUUAUGAACCCUAGGAUAAAAUAACAUAAAUUAAACGCAAGUAUGGAGGAAUGAAAGCCUAAUUCCGUAGGGCUUUGAUUCCUCAGGUGAGACCUCACAUGGAGGCAACAAUGAGUAAUGAGAAGAUCCUACCCACGAGGACGAGCUAUUCUCGGGUCAGCCUUGAAUUUGACACAAAUGAAGAUGAGGACGAAGAAACUGCAUUGAGGCAAACUUGGCUUGGUAUUGUGAAGGUUACGCAUGGCAUUAAUCAAAGUGGUGGAAUCAUCAUGGAACACACCAAAGGUCAUACAAAGGUUUGAAGACCAAGAUGAAAUGGCUCAUGCAUGAAAGAAAAAGUAGAAUCAGGGUUUCUUAGAAUACCUAGUUGACCAAAAAGUCAAUAGUUGACUAAAAGUCAACCUUAUGUGAAGACGUGUAAAUUUGUAUGGAAUUCUUGUAUUUUGGAUUUGUGAUAUGAUUUGAAAUGUUUUUGUAAUGAGAACGACAUCUUUUUUUUGAAUGAAUUGUAUAGCUUGAGUUCCAAGAAA